UUUGAUUUCAAGAAGUGUCAUGGU
rnacentral:piRNA from 1 species